GCGCCGGCUGGGCGGCGGGCCGGUCGCGCCGCUGAAGCUGGCGUCCGGCUGCGACCGCCGCUGCUCGUUCUGCGCGAUCCCCGCCUUCC
rnacentral:tRNA from 1 species